rnacentral:tRNA from 1 species
GCGAAAGUGGCGGAAUUGGCAGACGCGCAAGACUUAGGAUCUUGUGGCCUCGGGCCGUGGGGGUUCGAGUCCCCCCUUUCGCA